CGCGCAGGUGGUUUCUUAAGUCUGAUGUGAAAGCCCACGGCUCAACCGUGGAGGGUCAUUGGAAACUGGGAGACUUGAGUGCAGAAGAGGAUAGUGGAAUUCCAAGUGUAGCGGUGAAAUGCGUAGAUAUUAGGAGGAACACCAGUGGCGAAGGCGGCUUACUGGACGGUAACUGACGUUGAGGCUCGAAGCGUGGGGAGCAAACA
rnacentral:rRNA from 1 species